ACGUUCUUGUUUGACAAGGAAACUGGCGCGUUCGCGCCUCAAGAACAGGUCACGUCGUAAACCACAAUAUCCCAACCCAGCGGUGCGGUGCCGUGGGAAUCCUCGCGCUUCAGCGCGGGGAGGAUGUCAACUCCUGACGAAC
rnacentral:misc_RNA from 1 species